rnacentral:rRNA from 1 species
CGGCGUCACGAGUGGCAAUCGCGUUUAUUGGGUCUAAAGCGUUCGUAGCCGGUUUAGUAAAUCUUUUGUGAAAUUGUCAGGCUUAACUUGACAACGUGCAGAAGACACUGCUAAACUAGAGACCGGGAGGGGUCAGAAGUAUUUCAGGGGGAGCGGUUAAAUGUUAUAAUCCCUGAAGGACUACCAAUGGCGAAGGCAUCUGACCAGAACGGAUCUGACGGUGAGGAACGAAGGCUAGGGGAGCGAACCGGAUUAGAUACCCGCGUAGUCC